AUUGAACGCUGGCGGCAUGCUUUACACAUGCAAGUCGAACGGUAACAGGCCUUCGGGUGCUGUCGAGUGGCGAACGGGUGAGUAAUGCAUCGGAACGUGCCCAGAGGUGGGGGAUAACGCAGCGAAAGCUGUGCUAAUACCGCAUGUGAUCUGAGGAUGAAAGCGGGGGACCAGGCAGCAAUGUUUGGCCUCGCGCCUUUGGAGCGGCCGAUGUCAGAUUAGGUAGUUGGUGGGGUAAAGGCCUACCAAGCCGACGAUCUGUAGCUGGUCUGAGAGGACGAGCAGGCACACUGGAACUGAGACACGGCCCAGAGUCCACCGGGAGGCAGCAGUGGGGAAUAUUGGAGAAAGGGGUGAAGCAUGAUGCAGCAAUGCCGCGUGCGGGAAGAAGGAAUUCGGGUUGUAAAACGCUUUUGUACGGAACGAAAAGGGUCUGGCGAAUACCUGGAGCUAGUGACGGUACCGGAAGAAUAAGCAACGGCUAACUACGUG
rnacentral:rRNA from 1 species